GCUGGGUGUGGUGGCGCAUGCCUGUAAUCCCAGUGGCUCAGGAAGUUGAGACAGGAGAAUUGUGAGAUCAAAGCCAGCCUCGGCAAUGGUGAGGCACUAAGCAACUCAGUGAGACCCUGUCUCUA
rnacentral:sRNA from 1 species